ACAAUUCACUCUUUGUCAUUUAUUACUUUUAUUUGGACAACAUAUAUACAUAUGUACAAAAUACCUACUGUCAGAAUCCUCUUUUAUAAUUUCAUUUGAUUUACAAAAACGGGACAGCAAAAUAACUUAGGUCACUAAUACUGUACAAAAAUAAAACUGAUUAAACAGUUGUAAAGAUCAGUAUCUUACAGUGUUACAGAUCAUUCAUCUGUUGUGAAAGAACAUCUCAAUCUAUCCAGAGUGAUGAGCGCUGUGCUAAAUCUACCUGCAAACUGACAACUAAUCAAUUUCUGUAAUAUGGCUACCAAAUAUAAUUCUCAAAAGAAGCAUGAUGUAGAGCUAGACCUUAAAGCCAGGGCAUCAUUCCACAGUGGUGAAGGGCUUUCUUCUUCCCUAACCAAGGAGAGGAGUUAUCUUAACUCUAAAACUAUUAAAUUUUCCAGAAUAUGACAACUACUUACAGUAUUAGAUAAAACGACUUUUCUUUCUUUUUAAACACCUGCAAUAGUCUUUCAAAAAAUUCAGUUUGGUUAAAAAAGUAAACAAAAAUUACUAUCCUGCAUUUGGAUUUUUAUAAGUUAAAUCCAUGGUCUUUUUAAUAUAAAAAGUAAUUGCUUCAUAGUUUUAGUGUUCAAUGAACUCUAGUAGUCCUAUUUGAACCAUAUCUCGAUAUAGUAAAUCUAAUUAGAAUGCUGGUUCCUGUUUCGUGACAUUUUAAAACAGGAUUUAUCACGAAGAAUAAAAAGCCUUGAGUUUAUACGUUACGUUACUAUAACAUAUAAGAGAAUAUCAAAUGUGUGUUCUUCAACAACUUGAAAAGGCAAGUAACAACUUUUUUUGGGAAGUAAAUUGUGCAUUUUUUUUUUUAAAACAAGUUGCUGCAUUUAUAUCCAUCUAAGUAAGUGCUGGACAAAAGCCACAUAUAGAUUUACUCCUGAAACUACAAAGAUUGUCUUUCACUGACUUUGCUUGGUUUUCCUUCAUUUCUUUCUGUGAGGGGAAGAUGAGUUUGUCCAAGUUGGUGGGUUGCUAGGCAACCCCAAACUCCUCACUCACUCAAAGGCAGCGUGCAGAGGAUCACAAGCAGGACCGUUCCAUGAGCUCAGUAAGAAAUAGACAGCCUAACCUAUUUCGUAUGGAAGAACAGAUGUCCUUGAAACUUAUUUUGGACACAGAAAUUAAAAUUUGGUUUAAAAUAAGCGUUUCAAAAAUCUGAAACAGAGGUAGAAAGUGUUCUUUAUUUUUCCUGACAUGUUUUCCCGUGAGAAAACACUUUCCUUUUUAUCUCAAUGGACUGUUCCCAGUCCCUAAUGUUAAAAGCAGUUCUCUUUAUAGAACUACUAAUACAACUACGUUGGUUAAACAAACAAAAAAAAAAUAACACCGUGCUAGUGAUGGCUAUUGUAUUGGAAGUCAGAGUCAGCCAGGACCCACGCCUGCCGUAGGAGCCCACACUGCUUCUGGACUGGAAACGCGCCUGUGUCGGGUGAAGUCACGAGUUCACCUUCAGGGAGGCCCCCUACGUUUGCACGACACAGCUUACAGCACGUGUAUAAAUGAGAGUGCACCAUAGCUCCCUGGUUUAUAUAUUGGAUAAAAUUGUCAGGAAGCAUGAUUUCUGACAAAAGAAAAUGUAAACAUUUCUCCCAUGGUCACUGCUGACUCUCUUACUUGAGGUUUCUUCUUCGCUAUGAAAACAGUUCAUUGUUCUGACCACGUGAAGGCCAAACUUAAGUUUUCAGGUAAAUGGCAUAUUAUGGAUGUAGUGGUUUAGGCCAUUGUAGACACCUGGAUAUAAGAUAGCUAGUGGUGAGGCUUCUGAUGUCAAAGGUACAGUGAUGUGUUCUCAUUCACACGUGUUCUGUGUACCCUCGUUUUCCAAAAGGGACCGUGCUGAAGUCACCUUGGAAAUCAUCAUGGUAUAUUCCCUUGGGGCUCCCUACUUACAGAGGGAUAUGCUUCUCUUUUCACAUGUCAGCUCCCUUUUCCUUUUACAUAACUCUUGCACCUGUUUGUGGGAGUUUGUAGGAACACGGGCAGGAGACCAACACACCUUUUUCUCCACCAAAUCGGUGUUUCCCGAGCAAGUUACUGUUUUGCACCCAUUCAAAUAAAACCCAACAGAGUCAAAACCCUCUCGCUUCGUGGCAUUAAAACAGUAAGGUGAUGUUAACUAAAAGGAUCGGAAAAUUUGGAAAAGUUAAUAGAGUUAAAAUUCUGUUUGUUCUUUUUGAUUUUUUUUUUUAAAUACUACCCUCCUCCUCCUUCAGCAUCUGUCGGAUGUAUUUUGCCCUCCCAUCUCUGCCAUGAUUUCAUAGGGAAAUGUGUAUACUAUAAAAAAAAAAAAGCAGAUUAUAACGUGGUUCCAAACAGAAUGUCUGCUUCUACCCUUAAAGCACGUAUUUAACUUAUUCAUCCUCUGCAUUAGAAAAUAAAAGUGCAGCUUAUGUUCAAAUAGUACAAUUCAUACAAAGCAAGGUUUAAAAGUUCUGUACUUAGUGUAACCUUUCAGAGGUUUGUCUUGAUUAGUAUAAAUUCAGACUGCUUACCCAUUGACUAUAAGUAACUUUUUUUUUGUGGUUUUUGUUUUUGUUUUCAAGUCUUUAGAUGACAGAUCAUGCUGGAGUAGAUGUGCUCUUGCUUGCAUAAAGACAGCUGUGCUAUGGCGUGUUUUUUGUUUUUUUUUUUUUUUUUUUUUUUUUUUGUUUUUUGCUUUUUUUUUUUUGUUUUUUUUUUUUUGUAUCUCAAAGGUUAACGUGAUUCAAGAGAGUGGUUUUUGCUAAAGAAACCGAAGCACACUCGUCAUUACAUCGAAAAAGGUAAGAAAACAAUUCUGGAGAGAGACAGCAAGCAGAAAGGGGCCCAGCGCCGCCCCGUGACGCCGCAGGUCCGCUCACCGGGUCAGACGUAUGUACACCAGUGUGGGAGCUUUAAAACUC
rnacentral:lncRNA from 1 species